CAGUCGCCACGGUAAUACGAAGGGUGCAAGCGUUAAUCGGAAUUACUGGGCGUAAAGCGUGCGUAGGCGGUGAGUUAAGUCUGCUGUGAAAUCCCCGGGCUCAACCUGGGAAUGGCAGUGGAUACUGGCUCGCUAGAGUGUGUCAGAGGAUGGUGGAAUUCCCGGUGUAGCGGUGAAACGCGUAGAGAUCGGGAGGAACAUCGGUGGCGAAGGCGGCCAUCUGGGACAACACUGACGCUGAGGCACGAAAGCGUGGGGAGCAAACAGGAUUAGAUACCCGCGUAGUCCCUGUCUCUUAUAC
rnacentral:rRNA from 1 species